CAGUACAUGGUAUAUCAUGGACACCAAAAGCAAACUAUAAAGAUCUAAAUGCCAUAAUUUUGUGCAUCUUGAAAACUGGAAAGGCGGAUCACUUUGAAGCAGAUGAUAGUGAUAGUGUUUAAAAGAAUUCUUUGCGACAGUUAUACCAGUUGGAACAGGUAAUAGUUUAAAUUAUGAAAGUUUUAAAUUACUUCUCGGAUAAAUCAUAUGGCCCGUUCAAUAAUUUUAAUACAUCCCCCCUUUCCCUUUUAUUUUUAGUUACAAUGUGAAAUUAUUCUCUGCAAAUGUAUGAUCUGUGCUGAAAGCAAUUUUAUACAAUUUUAUUCAUCAUGUUUAAACAUUAUUUGAAUAGGAUAAUAAUUUAAAAUAAAAAAAAACAAAAAAAACUACAUGUAUCAGACUCAAACAUUACAUAAAAAAAGAAGAUUUGGUUAUGAUCAUUAUGAUUGCCAAUGAGAAAAUCACAUGUACAACUAUCCUCCAUAUACAAAACAGACCAUACAUGUCUGUCACCUUAUUUAUUAUGCUUAUCAUUAAUAUGUACAUGUCAGUAAGGUAUGUCCAUGUGCCAAAAUGAAUGUACAUGUAGGCAAAAUGCGACUACAUGUACAACUGAAUACAUUUGCAUGUACAUGUACAUGUAGAAUAGAUAAAUGUAUAAACAGAUGUGGCAUGAGUGUCAAUGAUAGAUCAUGAUACAACUCUCCAUCCAAGUCACAAUUUAUAAAAGUAAAGACAAUCCUACAGUUAUCAGGAUAGUCAUACAUGUAUGUAUGUUUAUGUCAGAUAUACAUGUAAACAGUAAGCUUAAUUUGUUAAAAAUCAGGAACGUCAAAUUAAAAUUUUCUGUAAUUUUGAUUGCUACAUAUACAGUGUACCUAUAUUUUAUGACAUAUGAAAGACACACAUAUAUUGAAAAGUGGUUAUCAUGAUUACAUAUAUAUUUAUUUAUAAAAAAAUAAAACUUGUAUAUCAAAUCUUAAGAUAAUUAGAUUCUUAAUCCACUAUUUAGAUGGGAACUUUUGGGACAGCAAUACCUUUGUAUCAUAAAAUUGUUGUUUAUUGUCCUUCGUGUCCUUAGAAACUAAAUUAGACAUAUGAUAUAUACAUGAUACAAUUGCAAGGAUUUCAAACUUUUAACAUUUAGUUCAAAACUGAAAAAAAUAUUUUAAAAUUAGCACAUUUUGAGAUCUUGUCAUUAGAAUUUAGAUACAUUUGUACAUGUACAUGUGUGAUCCUGAAACGCAUAACAUAUAAGGUUAAUUUGACUCAAAUAUAUCAAGUAAAGUUGUUUAGUAAUAAGUUAAUCACAAUUUACCUUUCUGCUUUAAAGUGUUCAUUUAGAUCAUUUUAUACAUUAACCUGUCCAUUUAAAAAUAGAAUUAAUCAUACAAAAAAGUCUUGUAACUUUGAAUGUUUUAAUGUAGUAAGAUGCUAACAGCUCAUUAUAUAUUUUCCACUGGUUCUUAAGAUAAGAAAAUAACUAAUUUGAUUUUAAAUACAAUUUUCCAAAUUCAAUUCAAAGAAUAAUUGAUCACCUUAUAAUCUGUUAUUUCUUUAAACAGAUAAAAGAUACAUCAGAUGACAGACUUACAUAUAGAGGAGCCUAUAAUUAGAGAAAUGGAUCAACUUGAUUUUGAAGUUAACCUACUGCAUUAAUAUGAAAAUUCAUAAGUGAGUACCAGUAUCUCUUAAAGUACAUUUUUUACGUGUUUAUCUAUAUUUUGAUAAAGUACCAUAUGAGAUAAAGUAUGUGAAAUCUUAAAUCCUGUAAAUAAACUAGACAUUACAUCAGUACAUAAUGUAAAUCAGAAUAAGAAUGCAUAACAAAUGAAUUGUUAAACAUUUUAAUAUGACCAGUGUCAGCUUAAUUUAAGAACAAAUAAAAACACAGAUGACACACACAUAAAAAUUAAUGAGACCAAGUGUGUAUUUUCCAGAUAUGCAAGAAGGGUUUUAAUCUCUCACUACAAAUAUAUUUGAAUUCCUGAAUGUGAAAUCUUCUAAAAAAUUAUACUAAACUUCAAAUAUGUGUACUUGAAUAUAUGUAUAUAAUAUUAAAAUUCAUCUUAUUUAAUAUAAUUAAUUUAAAACAUUUUCAAGCAAAAAACUGAUGUAUAAAUGUAUAGCUUGACUAUUCCUUCAUUUGUUUUCAGGUGACUGAGCUUAAAGAAAAUCACACAUGAAACUGUAACCAGUUUGGGAGACUCAUACAACAGAACAUUUCAAUACCUAUUAAGUUUUUUAUGUAUAUGUUUGACUUUUGGUAAUAUUUUGGAAGUUACUUUAGUAAUUGAGAGACCUCAAUGUUGAAAAUGACAAUUUU
rnacentral:lncRNA from 1 species